rnacentral:misc_RNA from 1 species
UGGCUCUUGCAUCGAUGAAGAACGCAGCGAAAUGCGAUAAGUAAUGUGGAUUGCAGAAUUCAGUGAAUCAUCGAAUUUUUGAACGCACCUUGCACUCCUUAGUAUUCUGAGGAGUAUAUCUGUUUGAGUAUCAUGAUGUUUUCAACUUUAAAAUUUAGAAUAAAAUCUGAAUUUUAAAGUCGGAUGUGGGGGAAUGAUAAAAUGCUUAUCAUCAAUAUAUAGAUGCUAAGCUCCCCUUAAAAAUAUAUGUAUAGAAACUGAACUAUAUUGUUUUCUCAGUAUGAUAAGUUAUUUUGUUUAUACUGUGAUAGAUAUUAGUCUCACCUAUACCCUUUUAAUCUGUGGAUUUUAUAUUUUAAUAUCUGAUCUCAAAUCAGGUAGGACUACCCGCUGA